UUUUUUUUCCCUUUCCACAUUCUAAAGAAGGACAGAUUCUUCAAAAGAUGCCUCAAGUUCUUUAAUUCUUCGCUCUAUAAGGUAUAAAUCAUACUGCUCUCUUUACUGCUACCAAAUUGGGUAAUCCAAUUAGUAUUUCCUUAUGUCCACUAUACAGGGAGUGCCAUUCAUUCUUAAGUCUUUGGGUAACAAGACUAAGACUAUUUCAAAGCAUACAAAGUAAAUGAAAUAAACAAGCAGAUAAACAAUCUGCUUGAAAUAAUCACUGUAUACAAUUAGAAAUCUGAAAAGGAAAAGAAAGUGGAUUAUUUGGGACAAAGUUAAACAAUAAAAAGAACCACAUGUGUCUUUAUGGGUUGGUAAGUAGGAAAGUGAAUAGUUACAUAAUCAGUAGCAUCUUUAAAGCAAUGCUCAGAUAGAUAACAGCAAUCACAUUCUUCAAAAA
rnacentral:lncRNA from 1 species